rnacentral:rRNA from 1 species
AACGUAGGACGCAAGCGUUAUCCGGAAUUACUGGGCGUAAAGCGCGCGCAGGCGGGCGAACAAGUCAUCCGUGAAAGCUCCCGGCUAAACUGGGAGAGGUCGGAUGAGACUGUUUGUCUGGAGGGUGGUAGAGGAGUGUGGAAUUCUGCGUGUAGUGGUGAAAUGCGUAGAUAUGCAGAGGAACACCAGUGGCGAAGGCGGCACUCUGGGCCACACCUGACGCUGAGGCGCGAAAGCAUGGGGAGCGAACGGG